rnacentral:rRNA from 1 species
AUACGGAGGGUGCAAGCGUUAAUCGGAAUUACUGGGCGUAAAGAGUACGUAGGUGGUUUGUUAUGUCAGAUGCGAAAGCCCCGGGCUCAACCUGGGAACUGCAUUUGAAACUGAUAAGCUAGAGUAUGGUAGAGGGGGGUAGAAUUUCUAGUGUAGCGGUGAAAUGCGUAGAUAUUAGAAGGAAUAACAGUGGCGAAGGCGGCCCCCUGGACCAAUACUGACACUGAGGUACGAAAGCGUGGGGAGCGAACAGGAGUAGAUACCCUAGUAGUCC